UCCUGCAAGCAACGGAGUCGUUGAAGCCGCACAGGUUAUCACAAAGCCAUUUAACGAUGCAGAAGACCUGGAUCGGUUUGAGAGUAGCCUGACACCCCCGAUUGAGAAACAACUGGUACAGGAGCUCGCCAUCCUUGGUGGAGCCACCCCGAAGGCUGCAGUUAGACGAAUCUUAGCGUACAUCAUGACUGACGAACUAGGACAACAGUACAGCUGGGAGGGUCGCAAAGGAAAGAAGAUAUAGACCUUCGUCUUCCUAGUAUUAUACUACGUGCUGUUCAUGCCCAGAAACAGCACAAAUGCACAAGCUACGAGGUGGAGAAGGCAGUCAAAGACUGGCUCUGUCAUUCUGGAGACAGGAACAAGAGGACUGCUGAUUGAUUAAAUAUAGCUAUCACAGCCACGGAGCCCUACACCUCAACUCUAC